rnacentral:rRNA from 1 species
CCUACGGGGGGCAGCAGUGGGGAAUAUUGGACAAUGGGGGCAACCCUGAUCCAGCCAUGCCGCGUGUGUGAAGAAGGCCCUCGGGUUGUAAAGCACUUUCAGUGAGGAAGAACGCCUGGUGGUUAAUACCCAUCAGGAAAGACAUCACUCACAGAAGAAGCACCGGCUAACUCCGUGCCAGCAGCCGCGGUAAUACGGAGGGUGCGAGCGUUAAUCGGAAUUACUGGGCGUAAAGCGCGCGUAGGUGACUUGAUAAGCCGGUUGUGAAAGCCCCGGGCUCAACCUGGGAACGGCAUCCGGAACUGUCAAGCUAGAGUGCAGGAGAGGAAGGUAGAAUUCCCGGUGUAGCGGUGAAAUGCGUAGAGAUAGGGAGGAAUACCAGUGGCGAAGGCGGCCUUCUGGACUGACACUGACACUGAGGUGCGAAAGCGUGGGUAGCAAACAGGAUUAGAUACCCCAGUAGUC